rnacentral:rRNA from 1 species
CCUACGGGGGGCAGCAGUGAGGAAUAUUGGUCAAUGGCCGGGAGGCUGAACCAGCCAAGUCGCGUGAGGGAAGACGGCCCUACGGGUUGUAAACCUCUUUUGUCAGGGAGCAAGGUGCAGGUCGGGACCUGCUGUGAGAGUACCUGAAGAAAAAGCAUCGGCUAACUCCGUGCCAGCAGCCGCGGUAAUACGGAGGAUGCGAGCGUUAUCCGGAUUUAUGGGGUUUAAAGGGUGCGCAGGCGGAGGCACAAGUCAGCGGGAAAAUCGCGGGGCUCAACCCCGCUCCGCCGUUGAAACUGUGAUCCUUGAGUGCGCGAAGGGUAGGCGGAAUGCGUGGUGUAGCGGUGAAAUGCAUAGAUAUCACGCAGAACUCUGAUCGCGAAGGCAGCCUACCGGCGCGCAACUGACGCUCAUGCACGAAAGCGUGGGUAUCGAACAGGAUUAGAUACCCCAGUAGUC